GGGUUGUGAGGUUAAGCGACUAAGCGUACACGGUGGAUGCCCUGGCAGUCAGAGGCGAUGAAGGACGUGCUAAUCUGCGAUAAGCGUCGGUAAGGUGAUAUGAACCGUUAUAACCGGCGAUUUCCGAAUGGGGAAACCCAGUGUGAUUCGUCACACUAUCAUUAACUGAAUCCAUAGGUUAAUGAGGCGAACCGGGGGAACUGAAACAUCUAAGUACCCCGAGGAAAAGAAAUCAACCGAGAUUCCCCCAGUAGCGGCGAGCGAACGGGGAGCAGCCCAGAGCCUGAAUCAGUGUGUGUGUUAGUGGAAGCGUCUGGAAAGGCGUGCGAUACAGGGUGACAGCCCCGUACACAAAAAUGCACAUAUUGUGAGCUCGAUGAGUAGGGCGGGACACGUGGUAUCCUGUCUGAAUAUGGGGGGACCAUCCUCCAAGGCUAAAUACUCCUGACUGACCGAUAGUGAACCAGUACCGUGAGGGAAAGGCGAAAAGAACCCCGGCGAGGGGAGUGAAAAAGAACCUGAAACCGUGUACGUACAAGCAGUGGGAGCACGCUUAGGCGUGUGACUGCGUACCUUUUGUAUAAUGGGUCAGCGACUUAUAUUCUGUAGCAAGGUUAACCGAAUAGGGGAGCCGAAGGGAAACCGAGUCUUAACUGGGCGUUAAGUUGCAGGGUAUAGACCCGAAA
rnacentral:rRNA from 1 species